GUUUUAAUAGUUUAAAAUAAAACAAUGAAUUUGUAAUUCAAAAAUAGGGAAUCCCUUUAAAACU
rnacentral:tRNA from 1 species